rnacentral:rRNA from 1 species
UGGCUCAGAACGAACGCUGGCGGCGCGUUUAAGCAUGCAAGUCGAGCGGCAAGGGCCUUCGGGCCCCUAGAGCGGCGGACGGGUGAGUAACACGUGGACAAUCUGCCCCCCGGCCCGGGAUAGCCCAGGGAAACCUGGAUUAAUACCGGAUGAGACGGGACCCGCGAUGGCGGGACCCGGGAAAGGCGCUGCGGCGCCGCCGGGGGAUGAGUCUGCGUCCCAUUAGCUAGACGGCGGGGUAACGGCCCACCGUGGCGACGAUGGGUAGCCGGCCUGAGAGGGUGGACGGCCACAUUGGAACUGAGACACGGUCCAGACUCCUACGGGAGGCAGCAGCUAAGAGUCUUCCGCAAUGGGCGAAAGCCUGACGGAGCCGACGCCGCGUGAACGAAGAAGGCCGUGAGGUUGUAAAGUUCUUUUCGGGAGGGGGAACAACCGUGGCAGGGAAUGGCCGCGGGAUGACGUGAAUCCCGGAAUAAGCCCCGGCUAACUACGUGCCAGCCGCUGC